rnacentral:rRNA from 1 species
UACGUAGGGGGCAAGCGUUAUCCGGAAUUAUUGGGCGUAAAGCGCGCGCAGGCGGUCCUUUAAGUCUGAUGUGAAAGCCCACGGCUCAACCGUGGAGGGUCAUUGGAAACUGGGGGACUUGAGUGCAGAAGAGGAGAGCGGAAUUCCACGUGUAGCGGUGAAAUGCGUAGAGAUGUGGAGGAACACCAGUGGCGAAGGCGGCUCUCUGGUCUGUAACUGACGCUGAGGCGCGAAAGCGUGGGGAGCGAACAGGAUUAGAUACCCCCGUAGUCC